UAAAUUCUCACACCUUUGUUUUGCCAGACCGGAGAGUGACGGUUCUAGCUGAUUCUUUCGAGCUUUCAGUGACUGAGACUGGGCACCAAGGGGAGCACCUAGGGAAGCAAGGGUUUUACACACCGCCAUGUCUACCCCAUUGUUAGCUCGUAACAGACCCGAGAGAGCACGGGAUUUUGCAUUUCUACUGUCACCUGGUUCUAGAUUAUGUGCCCGUAGACCAACAGAUUUGUGCCACCAGCUAGUUUUCUUACCACCCUUACAGAGAGUUACACUCCAUCUGCAACCUUCACCGCAACCCCCACUGUAGCACUUGAUGACCCUGUCUACGACUCUAGGGGUUGACGUAAACAGACGGAUUUUGCGGGAAAACGAAUCUGACAUCAAACCACGAAACUCGGACUGAAGAUGGACAACUUGUGUAGCUUCAGUUUGAGGGAUCACUCGUUGCUGAACGAAAAUUAGGGAGAUUUCUGUGUGACAUUAUGUUAACAUUACCGGCUAUGGAAAAUGUAUUAGUGGACUAUACCCAUAUAUAAAAUGCCCUACGCU
rnacentral:sRNA from 1 species